GACGAACGCUGGCGGCAUGCCUAACACAUGCAAGUCGAACGAGACGUUCGGGCCUUGGUGCGCACGUCUGCGUAAGACCUGGGAAGCUACACUUGGGUACGCUAUACCUCCCCUAAGGGGAUGCUAAUACAGCAUAAGCUCUUAGGACCAAAGAUCUAUUGCCUUUGGAUGGGCCCGCGUUGGAUUCGCUGGUUGGUAGGGUAAUAGCCUACCAACGCCAGGAUCCAUAGCUGGUCUGAUAGGAUGAUCAGCCACACUGGGGCUGAGACACGGCCCAGACUCCUACGGGAGGCAGCAGUGGGGAAUAUUGGACAAUGAGCGAAAGCCUGGUCCAGCAAUGCCGCGUGAGUGAUGAAGGCCUUAGGGUUGUAAAGCUCUUUUAGCCGGGAUGAUAAUGACAGUACCGGGUGAAUAAGCUCCGGCUAACUCCGUG
rnacentral:rRNA from 1 species